rnacentral:rRNA from 1 species
UACAGAGGGUGCAAGCGUUUGUUCGGAUUUAUUGGGCGUAAAGGGUGCGUAGGCGGCGGAGUAAGUUGGGUGUGAAAUCCCGGGGGCUCAACCUCGGAAUUGCAUUCAAUACUGCUUCGCUCGAGUACUGGAGAGGAGGCUGGAAUUUACGGUGUAGCAGUGAAAUGCGUAGAUAUCGUAAGGAAGGCCGGUGGCGAAAAGCGAGCCCUCUGGACAGUUACUGACGCUGAUGCACGAAAGGCCCAGGGGGGAGCAAAACGGGG